rnacentral:rRNA from 1 species
CCUACGGGAGGCAGCAGUGGGGAAUAUUGCACAAUGGGGGAAACCCUGAUGCAGCGACGCCGCGUGAGUGAGGAAGUAUUUCGGUAUGUAAAGCUCUAUCAGCAGGGAAGAAAAUGACGGUACCUGACUAAGAAGCCCCGGCUAACUACGUGCCAGCAGCCGCGGGAAUACGUAGGGGGCAAGCGUUAUCCGGAUUUACUGGGUGUAAAGGGGGCGUAGGCGGUUAAUCAAGUCAGAAGUGAAAACCCAGGGCUCAACCUUGGGCAUGCUUUUGAAACUGAGUAGCUAGAGUGCAGGAGAGGUAAGCGGAAUUCCUAGUGUAGCGGUGAAAUGCGUAGAUAUUAGGAGGAACACCAGUGGCGAAGGCGGCUUACUGGACUGUAACUGACGUUGAGGCUCGAAAGCGUGGGGAGCAAACAGGAUUAGAUACCCUAGUAGUC